UACGUAGGGUGCAAGCGUUGUCCGGAAUUAUUGGGCGUAAAGAGCUCGGUAGGCGGUUUGUCGCGUCGGCUGUGAAAACUCGGGGCUCAACCCCGAGCCUGCAGUCGAUACGGGCAAACUAGAGUGUGGUAGGGGGAGACUGGAAUUCCUGGUGUAGCGGUGAAAUGCGCAGAUAUCAGGAGGAACACCGGUGGCGAAGGCGGGUCUCUGGGCCGUAACUGACGCUGAGGAGCGAAAGCGUGGGGAGCGAACAGG
rnacentral:rRNA from 1 species